rnacentral:rRNA from 1 species
AGAACGAACGCUGGCGGCAUGCCUAACACAUGCAAGUCGAACGAGACCUUCGGGUCUAGUGGCGCACGGGUGCGUAACGCGUGGGAAUCUGCCCUUGGGUUCGGAAUAACAGCGAGAAAUUGCUGCUAAUACCGGAUGAUGACGUAAGUCCAAAGAUUUAUCGCCCAAGGAUGAGCCCGCGUAGGAUUAGCUUGUUGGUGAGGUAAGAGCUCACCAAGGCGACGAUCCUUAGCUGGUCUGAGAGGAUGAUCAGCCACACUGGGACUGAGACACGGCCCAGACUCCUACGGGAGGCAGCAGUGGGGAAUAUUGGACAAUGGGCGAAAGCCUGAUCCGGCAAUGCCGCGUGAGUGAUGAAGGCCUUAGGGCUGUAAAAGCUCUUUUACCCGGGAUGAUAAUGACAGUACCGGAGAAUAAGCUCCGGCUAACUCCGUGCCAGCAGCCGCGGU